CAAUAGCGUAUAUUAAAGUUGUUGCGGUUAAAAGCUCGUAGUUGGAUUUCUGUCGAGGACGGUCGGUCCACACUUUGUGUGAGUAUCUGAUUCGGCCUUGGCAUCCUCUGGGGGAACGUCUCUGCGCUUGAUUGCGUGGGGCGGUAUUCCAGACUUUUACUUUGAGGAAAUUAGAGUGUUCACGGCAGGCAAACGCCUUGAAUACAUUAGCAUGGAAUAAUAAUAUAGGGCGUAAGUUCUAUUUUGUUGGUUUCUAGGACAUACGCAAUGAUUAAUAGGGAUAAUUGGGGGCACUCGUAUUAACACGUCAGAGGUGGAAUUCUUAGAUUGUGUUACGACGAACUACUGCGAAAGCAUUUGCCAAGGAUGUUUUCAUUGAUCAAGAACGAAAGUAUGGGGAUCGAAGAUGAUUAGAU
rnacentral:rRNA from 1 species